rnacentral:rRNA from 1 species
GUGCCAGCAGCUGCGGUAAUACGUAGGGUGCGAGCGUUGUCCGGAAUUACUGGGCGUAAAGAGCUCGUAGGCGGUUGUCGCGUCGUCUGUGAAAUUCUGCAACUCAAUUGCAGGCGUGCAGGCGAUACGGGCAGACUUGAGUACUACAGGGGGAGACUGGAAUUCCUGGUGUAGCGGUGAAAUGCGCAGAUAUCAGGAGGAACACCGGUGGCGAAGGCGGGUCUCUGGGUAGUAACUGACGCUGAGGAGCGAAAGCGUGGUAGCGAACAGGAUUAGAUACCCUGGUAGUCCACGCCGUAAACGGUGGUACUAGGUGGUGGGUUCCUUUCACGGGAUCCGUGCCGUAGCUAACGCAUUAAGUA